rnacentral:rRNA from 1 species
CCCUUAGAUGUUCUGGGCUGCACACGUGCUACACUGGCAGGUUCAGCGAGCUUCAUGCCCUGAUCUGAAAGGAAUGGGAAAUCUUUUCAAAACCUGCCGUGCUUGGGAUAGAUGUUUGCAAUUAUUCAUCUUCAACGAGGAUUGCCUUGUAAGCGCACGUCAUCAGCGUGCAUUGAAUACGACCCUGUAUUCUGUACACACCGCCCGUCGCUCCUACCGAUUGAAGUUUUCGGUGAGUUGACAGGAGGAUUUUUUUGAAACUGGUUCGCCAGUGGAUUUUAGAUCCAAAUACCAACGAAUCGAUGGCUUUAGAGGAAGGAGAAGUCGUAACA